UAGGGAAUCUUCGGCAAUGGGGGCAACCCUGACCGAGCAACGCCGCGUGAGUGAAGAAGGUUUUCGGAUCGUAAAGCUCUGUUGUAAGAGAAGAACGAGUGUGAGAGUGGAAAGUUCACGCUGUGACGGUAUCUUACCAGAAAGGGACGGCUAACUACGUGCCAGCAGCCGCGGUAAUACGUAGGUCCCGAGCGUUAUCCGGAUUUAUUGGGCGUAAAGCGCGCGCAGGUGGUUUAAUAAGUCUGAUGUGAAAGCCCGCGGCCCAACCGUGGAGGGUCAUUGGAAACUGUUAAACUUGAGUGCAGGAGAGAAAAGUGGAAUCCCUAGUGUAGCGGUGAAAUGCGUAGAGAUUAGGAGGAACACCAGUGGCGAAGGCGGCUUUUUGGCCUGUAACUGACACUGAGGCGCGAAAGCGUGGGGAGCAAACAGGAUUAGAUACCCUGGUAGUCCACGCCGUAAACGAUGAGUGCUAAGUGUUGGUCUCAUAAGAGAUCAGUGCUGCAGCUAACGCAUUAAGCACUCCGCCUGGGGAGUACGACCGCAAGGUUG
rnacentral:rRNA from 1 species